rnacentral:rRNA from 1 species
GACGUAGGGCGCGAGCGUUGUCCGGAUUUAUUGGGCGUAAAGAGCUCGUAGGCGGCUUGUCGCGUCGUCCGUGAAAACCUGGGGCUCAACCCCAGGCUUGCGGUCGAUACGGGCAGGCUAGAGUUCGGUAGGGGAGACUGGAAUUCCUGGUGUAGCGGUGAAAUGCGCAGAUAUCAGGAGGAACACCGGUGGCGAAGGCGGGUCUCUGGGCCGAUACUGACGCUGAGGAGCGAAAGUGUGGGGAGCGAACAGG